rnacentral:rRNA from 1 species
UGAUCCUGGCUCAGGAUGAACGCUAGCGGCAGGCCUAAUACAUGCAAGUCGAACGGUAACAUUGGUGCUUGCACCAGAUGACGAGUGGCGCACGGGUGCGUAACGCGUAUGCAACCUACCUUUUACUAGAGUAUAGCCCAGAGAAAUUUGGAUUAAUCCUCUAUAACAUCUUUUAAUUUCAUGAUUUUAAGAUUAAAGUUUUAACGGUAAAAGAUGGGCAUGCGUCCUAUUAGUUUGUAGGUGAGGUAACGGCUCACCUAGACUACGAUAGGUAGGGGCCCUGAGAGGGGGAUCCCCCACACUGGUACUGAGACACGGACCAGACUCCUACGGGAGGCAGCAGUAAGGAAUAUUGGACAAUGGACGAAAGUCUGAUCCAGCCAUGCCGCGUGCAGGAUGACAGCCCUACGGGUUGUAAACUGCUUUUAUACAGGAAGAAACACUCCGACGUGUCGGAGCUUGACGGUACUGUAAGAAUAAGGAUCGGCUAACUCCGUGCCAGCAGCCGCGGUAAUACGGAGGAUCCAAGCGUUAUCCGGAAUCAUUGGGUUUAAAGGGUCCGCAGGCUGUUUUUUAAGUCAGAGGUGAAAUCCUGCAGCUCAACUGUAGAACUGCCUUUGAUACUGGAAAACUUGAGUUAUUGUGAAGUGGUUAGAAUGUGUGGUGUAGCGGUGAAAUGCAUAGAUAUCACACAGAAUACCGAUUGCGAAGGCAGAUCACUAACAAUAUACUGACGCUCAUGGACGAAAGCGUGGGGAGCGAACAGGAUUAGAUACCCUGGUAGU